rnacentral:rRNA from 1 species
AUGCACGCUGGCGGCGUGCCUCAUACCUGCCCGUCGAGCGCACAGAUGAGGAGCUUGCUCCUCUGACGUUAGCGGCGGACGGGUGAGUAACACGUGGAUAACCUACCUAUAAGACUGGGAUAACUUCGGGAAACCGGAGCUAAUACCGGAUAAUAUAUUGAACCGCAUGGUUCAAUAGUGAAAGACGGUUUUGCUGUCACUUAUAGAUGGAUCCGCGCCGCAUUAGCUAGUUGGUAAGGUAACGGCUUACCAAGGCAACGAUGCGUAGCCGACCUGAGAGGGUGAUCGGCCACACUGGAACUGAGACACGGUCCAGACUCCUACGGGAGGCAGCAGUAGGGAAUCUUCCGCAAUGGGCGAAAGCCUGACGGAGCAACGCCGCGUGAGUGAUGAAGGUCUUCGGAUCGUAAAACUCUGUUAUUAGGGAAGAACAAAUGUGUAAGUAACUAUGCACGUCUUGACGGUACCUAAUCAGAAAGCCACGGCUAACUACGUG